GGGCAGGGAAGAAGGCUGGACUUGGAGACUGACGCCGAGUGACUUGAAGCUCUCUGGCCUCAGCUUUCUCACCUGCAGAAUGGGACCGUCCACCUUGAGGGCCCAGGCGGCGUGUCGGAGCGCAGGAGCUGGGAAGCCUGGAUUUGGAUCUUGGCUCAGCCACUUGGAAGCUGUGCUUUCCUGAGAGGGUGAAUUCACCUCUCUGAACCCUGGGGAUAACGAUGGUGCUUGGGUUUCCUAGAGUUGCCGUGCAGAUUCAAGUGAGGUGAGGUAGGCCUGGUGUUAGGCUGCUGCAUGGCGGGCACUGGGUGGUUGCUCUUAUGUGGGGAGUUGUUCCGGGCUCCGGGAAGGGGUGGGGAUGCGAAAGCAGAAACUGAGGGUUGAACAGGGACUUCAGGAGUAGGGGCAGUGGCACCUGGUUCAUGCAUGUUCUCAGCCACCUCGGUGGCAGCCACGGUGACGAGUACCACCCCUUCCCACCUGCUGACAGGCACGGCUCGUCCUCAGCGCCUUCUGAUGUUCAUUCACUUAAUUUCUUGGUGUUCGAGAUGUGCAUCACUAUCAUCUCAUCUGCAGGUGACCGCGAGCCUCAGGGACGUAGGGUGUCCUGCCCCGGGUCACGCAGUGGUGGGCAGGUGCUAACGUCCUUCACCCGCAGCCCUCAGGGGGCAGGAGGGGCUCGAGGCCUUGCCUUCCACAGCCGCCUUCUCUCCACGCGCUACAAGUCCAAGGUGCUCUAGGAGGGGCCCCAGGGGGCAGGCCCCAAGUGGCCUUUUCUCCAUUCAGCCCAGCCCAGCCCAGCGUACCUGCCCCACUGGAGCAGAGCAUGUACCCAGGAGAUGCAGAUGGCUUCAGUGAAGGAUGCGAAGGCUGCGGACCUUGGGGCCGCGUGACGGCUCGCUCCACCCUGUUGGUCCCACGGAAUCCGCUCUCCUGCGUCACGUGGGAUAACACGGAGACAGUAUGCGCUGCCUGGUUGACAGGCCCUUUGGCCUGGGUUCUAAGACGAGCCGGCUUAGGAAUAAAGACAAAGGGGGCCACUAUGAACAGCUGGGCAGCUACUCUGCACCAGGCGCGCUGCUAGGUGUUUCAAAACCACGAUCCCAAUGUAACCUGCCCCUGGAGAGAGAUCCUGGACGUUUUCCAGAUGAGGACGCUGAGCUGUGCGAGGCUGGGUGGCUUUUCAAGUCCCAAAGCUGAGGAGGCAGCGAGGUCUGCUUCCAAAGCUCAUGUCGCUGCACAACUCAGCCAUUUCCCACGGCCCACCACCAACUAGGGGGACGCGAAUCCAUGUCUCUUCAAUACGCCAGGGCUCAGAGGGACGAAGCAUGGCCGUCCGGAUCUCCUUUCCUUACCAGGAAGCCCAGAACUCGAAGUCUACAGUCCGGCCUGUGGGAGGCAGCCUUCUGCCCAGGAAGCCCCCGCAGUGAGCAGGACAGAGCUUGUGCCUUGUGGACUGAAUCCACUCCUUGCCUGGACGUAUGAACCUCACUGACCAGCUGCCCGCCACCUUCUGGCCUCGAUGGUGGGUGCCUUAAGGUCUGGGCUGGAAGGAGCAUCGCGGACCAUCCACCCCACACUCGAUUUCCAACGAGUAGACGAUGGUCACAGGAAGCAGAUCCUCAGAGCCCCGCAGAGGAGCGACUGGGCUCCCGUCUCCACGAGUAUCCGCUGGGGGUUAAUUAAGUCAAAACUUUACAAGAAAGGAGGAUUGAGACUUGGCUUUUAAAAGUGAACAUGAAUC
rnacentral:lncRNA from 1 species